rnacentral:rRNA from 1 species
UACGGGGGGGGUAAGCGUUGUUCGGAAUUACUGGGCGUAAAGGCUCGUAGGCGGCCAACUAAGUCGGACGUGAAAUCCCUCAGCUUAACUGGGGAACUGCGUCCGAUACUGGAUGGCGUUGGAUUUGGGAGAGGGAUGCGGAAUUCCAGGUGUAGCGGUGAAAUGCGUAGAUAUCGAGAGGAACACCUGCGGCGAAGGCGGGUUGCUGGGCUGACACGUGACGCUGAGGCGCGAAAGCUAGGGGAGCGAACGGG